AAGAUAUUAGUAAAAUUAUUACGUAACUUUGUCAAAGUUGAAUUAUAGACUAGACAUCUAUAUAUCUUA
rnacentral:tRNA from 1 species